CAGGGUUCACAAAAGCAUACACAUCAAACAUAAGAGAGUGAGAUUACCUGUCACCAUCAUGUCCGAUGUGUUAGCUUCUUGCUGCGUCAUGGAGAAGAUCCGAGCUGGAACUGAUGGACCUUCACCUAGGGAACCUACUGAAGAAGGGGCCGUCCCCCUUCCUCUGCCUCGACCACUACCCUGAAACAUGGCUGGAGCUGA
rnacentral:lncRNA from 1 species